AUGGAUAGUGUUUUUUCUCCUGGAUCCCUGAAAGUUGUUCAGGGACAUUACACUGCCCCUAAUGGAGAAGUCCAUUACGUUCGAUUAUACCACAGUGUAUCAGUCUCUGUGUACAAUGUUCUCCUGGGACAGGAACCAGGAGGGGCCAGAAAACUUCUAGAAAAGGCAGUAUCAAGGAGGAGAGGGUUAGCCGGUGUCAGAGACUGCAGAGAGCGCAAGGAGAGUGAGGAUCACCAAAAAGGCCCCUGAUUGGGUCCCUUGGGAGAGAGCAGUCUUGAUGGAAUGAUGAUGAGGUCAGAGGCCAGAUUGGAAGGGGGUCCCACAGACAACGGUUUGGGGUGCGGAGAGGUGCCUCGAGACUGUGUUUCAGGGAUGUUCACACUUUGGGAAUGAGCGUCUGAGGCAGGAUUCGAAACGAGGCCUUUCUGGCCCCAACUUUGGAGCCUGCUCGACGGGCCACACGACUUUUGUUGAGGGAAGAAGCUGGCAGAGCCGGGCACCGAGUUAGCCCCCACCCUUGAACACCCCCAGCGGGGACUAGCAGACGUGGCUUGUUUGAGUUAACUUGGAACCUCCAGCAGAGUGCUGGUCCAUUGACCUUGGACCAAGAGGGAGCCUAGGGGCAGGACGGAUGGAAAACUAGUCCCAGGGCUUAGUCAGAGCCCGUCACCCCAUGGGCAGCCCCAGGGCUGCCCGCCUGGACCUGGCGGGUUCUGUCCCCAGAAUCCCAACCGCUCAGCCAUCUCCCAGCUUGGAGCAAGUCUCUUCCCCUCUCCAAGCCUCAGUUGCUUCUUUGGACAAACGGGUUAGAAUUCCUUGGGCCGGACCCUUUCUCUUGGCCCCAAGCUCCCCAGCUGUAGAAUGGGUGAACAGCUGCACCCCUUAAUGCAGUGGGGCGGAGAAGACUCCCAGGGUCUGGGCAGCACCCGCCUUCUUUCCUUGGGGAUAGGCCCCCCCAACUCCACUUGAACAACCAGGGGAGGAUUGAUUCCAAGGUCCCUUCUGGCCCCAAAUCGGUAAUGUCCUGGGGGCUCUCUUGGUGGUGCUGGGCUAGUCCUCCGCCCCCAUGAGCAGCUGAACCCGCCU
rnacentral:lncRNA from 1 species